rnacentral:lncRNA from 1 species
GAAAAUCCGGGCUUCAGCUGGUCUCUAAAUAAAAAUAUACACAUGUACUAGUAAUGUGAAAAUGGACGUCACACUUAACUUGGACAAAAAAAAACAUAAAAAAACUAACAAAGAUCAGAGUCUACUGUCCUUGGGACAGGCGCAAAAAUACGGCGGGGCUAAACAUGCUUUGUUAGAUCUCAACCCUCCCGCUAUACAAUUAUAUCUAGCUCAUGUAGAAUAAACAAACACAC